AAAUAAGUAAGCUAAUUAAGCUUUUAGGUUCAUACCCUAAAAAUAGACAUCACUUCUCUUAUUUA
rnacentral:tRNA from 1 species